UAGGGAAUCUUCCACAAUGGACGCAAGUCUGAUGGAGCAACGCCGCGUGAGUGAAGAAGGUCUUCGGAUCGUAAAGCUCUGUUGUUGGUGAAGAAGGAUAGAGGCAGUAAAUGGUCUUUAUUUGACGGUAAUCAACCAGAAAGUCACGGCUAACUACGUGCCAGCAGCCGCGGUAAUACGUAGGUGGCAAGCGUUGUCCGGAUUUAUUGGGCGUAAAGCGAGCGCAGGCGGAAUGAUAAGUCUGAUGUGAAAGCCCACGGCUCAACCGUGGAACUGCAUCGGAAACUGUCAUUCUUGAGUGCAGAAGAGGAGAGUGGAACUCCAUGUGUAGCGGUGGAAUGCGUAGAUAUAUGGAAGAACACCAGUGGCGAAGGCGGCUCUCUGGUCUGCAACUGACGCUGAGGCUCGAAAGCAUGGGUAGCGAACAGGAUUAGAUACCCUGGUAGUCCAUGCCGUAAACGAUGAGCGCUAGGUG
rnacentral:rRNA from 1 species